rnacentral:miRNA from 1 species
CAAACUACAAGUUUUAAGCCUCA